rnacentral:rRNA from 1 species
GACGAACCGUGCGAACGUUGUUCGGAAUCACUGGGCUUAAAGGGCGCGUAGGCGGGCUCGCAAGUCAGGGGUGAAAUCCCACGGCUCAACCGUGGAAGUGCCUUUGAUACUGCGGGCCUUGAGGGAGGUAGGGGCGUGCGGAACUUCCGGUGGAGCGGUGAAAUGCGUAGAUAUCGGAAGGAACACCGGUGGCGAAAGCGGCGCGCUGGACCUCUUCUGACGCUGAGGCGCG